GUAAGAUGGCGGCGCGGGGGGCGGCCUGGCGGGGCGGUCACGUGGUGAGGAGUAGCGCGCGAGCCUCCUUAAGUGAUCUCUAAGGUUCAAGAGAUUCUCCUGCCUCAGCCUCCCAAGUAAUUGGAAUUACAGGCCCAUGCCACCCCACCCGGCCAAUUUUUUUGUAUUUUUAGUAGAGAUGGGGUUUUGCCAUGUUGGCCAGGCUGGUCUCAAACUCCUGACCUCAAGUGAUCCGCCGGCCUUGGCCUCCCAAAGUGCUGGGAUUACAGGCAUGAGCCACCAUGCCGGACCUAUUAGUGUAUUUACUGGAUAUCAAGAUGACUAAGAAAUAGCACUUGCCUUGAAGGAGCUUUUCUAUUUGAGGAAAAAGACAUGUAUAUAAAUAACUGCAAACAGAAUAAAACAAGUGUUAUAUAGAUCUACAUACAGUGACAUGCCAUGGGAAUGCUGAACACUGAGCAACAGUUUCAACUAGCGAAUUGGCACAGGAAACAUGAGAAAUAAAUGUAUUUUCAAUAUGACAAGAAUGGUCAUUUCUGGAUAUAAGAACAAGAGAAAAGUCAUGGGUAUAUGGAAAGGCAUGGACUCUUCAAGGAAGAGCAAGUAGUCUAAUGUAGAUGCUGUAUAGGAAUCUGGGGACAAAGGGACAGAUAAGUGGUAUAAACAAAGAGGCUGGAAAUAGGGUUAUGGGCUAGAUCAUGAGUGACCUGUAAGCAUUAGGAGUUUUGAUUUAUUUUGGAAUAAGAAACAUUUAUGGCUUUUGAGAAGGAAAAUUACACAAGGGAAAAGAAAGGAUUUUUAUUUUUUAUUUUUAUUUUUGGAGAGAUGAGAUCUCACUAUGUUGCCCAGGCUGGUCUUGAACUCCUGAACUCAAGCAAUCCUCCCAGCUCGGCCUCUGAAACUUCUAGGAUUAUAGGCGUGAGCCACUACGUCCAGCCAGGAUUAUGUUUUUUAUGGGAGGGAUGAGAAUAUUGGUAGGCGGGUAGAGGAUAAAUGAGAGAGAAUAUGUAUAUGUGAGAUUGAAUAUAUAAUAGAAAAAAUUGAUAGGACAAGUCUUGCGUUAUUACUACAUUUUAUGAGGAAAAUCUAUAUAUUAGAAGCACUUUAAAGGUAUAUUUGCUGUUAUAGCUGUGGAAACCAUCUGAAAACACAUUUGAAAGUGCUUUGAAACAGGGGUCAACAAACUUUUCUGCAAAGGGCCAGAGUAUGUUUAGCUUUGCGGGCCACAGAUGGCCUCUGUUGCAUAUGCUGCUGGGUCUCCACCUUCCUCCUCCUUUUCUUCCCUUCCUCUUCCUUCUUUUUCUUCUUCUCUUUCUUCUUCUUUCUCUUUAAAAGCAUAAAAUCAUUCUCAGCUCAUGGGCCAUACAGAAACAGGCCAUAGGCCAGAUUUGACUUCUAGGCCAUAGUUUGCCGACCCUCCAUUUUAGAACUUAGCUUUCCUGAAAGAGCAUUUGGGUCUCUCUCUCUCUCUCCCUUUCUCUCUCUCUGUCUCUCUCUCUCUCUCUGUCUCUCUCUCUCUCUCUCUCUUUCAGUAAGUGAAGUAAGAAAUAGGUCUUUCUUGAGGAACAAAAAGCUGAAAUAAUUUCAUGCAUUUGAAUAUGACCCUUGACCUGUUUUUGUCCAUCAUCACUCAGAUUUGUGGCUGCAACCACCAACCAAUUUGGUGCCAUAGGAUAUAGCAUAAUUUUUCAGCAACAGUUCAUAAGCUUUUCUUUUUGUUCUUUUUCCUUCUUCCAGUUGUGGUGGUUUAAAAACAUGUCUGCAAAAUCUUUGACACUUCUCAGUAAAAAAUAUAGAGUCUUGUGUUCCCUUUUCUUGAACCUAAGUGGCCUUUGUGCUGCCUCAACAAAUAGAAUAUGACAGAAAAGACACUGUGACUUUUGAGACAGGGUCAUAAGAGGUGAUAGAGCUUCCCCAUGCCCCUGCAUUUUAGAGCUCUGGGUUGCCAUGUAAGAAUAGCUACCCUGAAGCUACCAUGCUGAAGAGACCACAGGGAAAUCACAUAGAGUUAGAAAGAGGUGUCUGAAGAAGCCCAGCUGCUCCCAAUCCCAGCUAUUUAAGUCCUCCCAGACCAGGUGCCAUAUAUAUGAGUGAGCAAGCCUUCAGAUGGUUCCAGCACCAGCCACCAUCUAGCUGUAAGCUCAUGAGACCCCUUCAACGAAAACCAUCUAGAUUAGCUUAGUCAAGCCCCAGAACCGUGAAAGACAAUAGACUUGCUAUGGAGGUCGCCACAUGCCUCUUUUUUCUCCCUUUGUGAAUGGGAUUAUUUAUAAUGGUUACCCAUACCUACUCCACUAUGUAUAUUGGGUAUGAGGGAGAGAUAAUUUGUCUCACUAGCUGACAGAUUUUUCAAACCUCAAGGAAUGCCACUUGAGCUGUACGCACAGGACCACACACAAGUAUCUUUAUCCACACGUGACCUGAUUUCACUGAUAAAGUCCUGGACCUUGAGCCUGAGCCCAGUGUCUUAAUAAAUGAGAAUUUCAGAAGGUCUUGGGAGGGGGUGAGUAUAUUUUGCAUGUGGGAAGGAUGUAAAUAAUAUGUGGCCUGAGAGCAGAUUAUGGUGGUUUGAAAAUGUGUCCACCAAUUCUUUAAUACUACUCUCAACAAGAGGUGGAAUCUGUGUCUCUUCCUUUGCAACAUGAGUGGACCUUUGUGAUUAAAUGCAGCAGAAGGAUGCUGUGUGAACUCUGAGACAGGGUAAUAAGGGGUGAUACAGCUGCCACCUAGUUCUUUCUCAGAACAUGUGCCUUUGGAGCCCUGAGCUGCCAUGGAAGAAAACCACCUACCCUGAAGCCACAACACUGGAAAGACUAUGUGGAAGAACCACAGAGAGAGAGAAGAGGACCAAAUGUGUGAGCCUUCCCAGCCCAGGCUCCAAAUAUGCAGUAGUAAGCCUUCAUUUCUUUUUGGUUUUAAUUUUUUUUUUUUUUAAUAAAUCGAAAUGGGUUCUCACUAUGUUGCCCAGGCUGGUCUUGAACUCCUAAGCUCAAGUAAUCCUCCUACCUCAGUCUCCCAAAGUGCUGGAAUUGUAGGCAUGAGCCACCAUGCCCGGCUGCAAGUAGUAAGUCUUCCGAUGCUUCCAUCACCAGCCACCAUCUGAUGACAACCCCAUGAAUGACCCUCAGCAAGAACUACCUAGCUGAAUCCAGCCAAACUCCAGACCCAUGAGAGAGAAAUAAAAUUGUUGUUUGAGUCACUAAAUACGGAGUAAUUUAUAUUAUCAACAGAUAACUGGAACCACAAGUGUAAUUGUUAAAGGUAAAACUUUGAAUACAUUUAUAUUUGCCUUCUGCCACAUUCCAUAAUUGACUUUUGUUCAUGAACCUAUUGGCAAGUUUGCCUUAUUGCUUUUCCUUCUUCCCUUUUUUUUUUUGUAACUUAAAAAAUCAUAUGAUAAAACAACACAAAAAUGUAUUUGAAUGUAGGUUGAGUGACCAUAAAUAAGCACAAAACUCCUUCCUGUGACUCUCUUGUCUGUAUAUGCCAAGUAUCUAACACAAGGCCUGCCUGGCACAUAAUUUUUUUUUUUUAAUGUUAGUCUCUUUUAUCAUUCUUUUUCCCUGUCAGUGGUAUUAUCUUUACCCAUGGAAUCCAGCACCCUCGUGCUGACUUCUAGUUCCCCAAAGUCCCUAACCUCUACAGUCCUCUCCAACCCCCACCCCAGGCCUCUCUCUAUGUUCCAGACAUUUUCUGGCUUUUUACCAUUAUCCAAACUCUGAACUUAUCUACUUAGUUUUUAUUAAAAAACACAGAGUGACUACAUAGCUAAUAUAAAUAAUGCCAGUGUUAACACAAAAAUUUGACUUGAAUGAUUACAAUAGCAAACUUCAAUGUUUACCCCAUGGAAUAGGCAGAAAAUUUCAAGCACUUUUCUAGGCCACCUGAGUCUAUUUUGAGUAAGGAUCCUUAAGUUGAUACUCAAGUAAUGACAUUCAUGCAAUGUAGAAGACUAUGCUAAAAUUUGUCCUGGCUUCUCUCCAUGCUAUAGGCCAUCUGUAAAGCUUUGGAGUCUAGGUCAGAUGUAUGCGUUGUCUCCUCUUUGCUACCAUUUUUGUACAGAUUUCUAAUCUAAAUAAAAUUAAUGUCAAUAACAGUGUGGAAAGGGAAAGCCUAAAAGAAAGAGGGUUUUUGAAGAGUGGGGGACCAGAAAAGAAGAGGACAAUUUUACCUGAAUUGUUUUACUUUAGAAAAUAAAUUUGUUCAUGUGAUUAUGUGAGUCAAUUAACACAUGUAUAUAAAUACACAUUUCUUUAUUUAACCAUUAUUAUUAUCACUAUGUGAUCCCUCAAUGUGCUGGCUACCACGGGUGUAAGAUAAAUUACAGAAACUCCUUAUUCUGAAGGAUUCCAACAACAAUUUGGCAUUGUGCACUGUAUGGGGCCUGGGAAAAUCCUCUGAUUUGCCAUACCUUAGGAAAGGUCUUUGCGUGAUACUAGGCCAUGUCUCUUACUACAAUGAUGAGCAUUCUUAGAUUUAAAAAUAAUACCAAGCUGUCAGGAAAACUGAAUUCCAUCAAUAAUAACAUCUUUUCAUAAACUAAAAGCUUGCAAAGCCUUAAUUAAAAAAAUGAAUUUAUUACUAAGUGAAUUUAAUUCACAAAAGGAAUUUUCCCCAAUAUUUAGGCUGUUGUUGGUUUUGGCUUUGUUUUUAAUUAACAUUUUUAGUUGUAUGGUUUGAUCAAAUACUGAAUUUGAGUUCAAAGAUACAUUUCCUCUGAGGAUGCAGUCUAAAGAGGCCAAGUAAAUAAUAGAAAAUCAUAGUUUCCAAGUUUCGCAGAACAAAGCUCAGUAGUUCCAUGACUUUUUCAGUGUUCUACAGAAUUGAGCUACUCCCUCUUACACAAAAAAGUGCUCUAAUUUUCAUUUUUUUCUUGUUUGCUCAGUUUCUUCAUUUCUUUAUUUGCCUACUUUCUUAAUUUCUUCCUAAGUAAAUAUAUAGCUAUCUUUGAGGAGAAGUGAUGUAACAUCAGAAACAAAGAGUAGACUCACAAUUAGAGCCCACUGACUCAUGGGACUUUAGAUAAACCAUUAAUCAGGAAACUGGGGGUGUUAAUGCUGUUUAGUUAGUUGAUUGAGGAGGUGAGGACAAAACCUGGUGACUUCAGGGCCUCAGCAACAGAACUCCUACCUAUUUCCAUUGCUACCACUUACCUUAUGGGCAUUAGAUAAUUCUGCAGUGAGUUAUUCUGUGCAUGAGGGGGCAAAGGCUUUAGAGUCAGGUAGCUGGGGAGUUAUUUUCUCUCUCUGCUAUUUAAUAGCUGUAUGACCUCAGGUGAAUUUCUUAAUCUCCGUUUCCUUGUUUGUAAUACCCAUCAUGAGAAGUUGUUCUGAGGAUCACAGAUACUAUACCUAAAGUACCCAACAAAGUCCUGACACAAGGAAGGUGUUCCAUAAACGGUAGCUAUCUGAAGUAGUCUAAAAGGUCCCUUUCAAAUGUUUAAUACACCCAUAUAAUCCCAAUCUUAAUCUCUCACUCUCUUGUUGGCCCAUCAUUAGAGCACCAGAUCCCCUUGACUGCUUUCCAGGGUAAGGAUGCAAGACCACUGAGAACUGUGCUGCGCUGGUAAGAGGAGGUGCUGAUGGCAUGCUGUUGCCUCUGCCAGACAGACUCUGUCUUUGCUGAAGUGUUUAGUAUUGCUAUUGUGGCAAAUGCCAUUUUAGUCAAAGGCAAUAAAUCUUCCCUUGUUUAAAUGACAGAUGGCUAGGAUUGUUACUUGUGUUUCUAGCAAACCCAGAAAGGGAAAAAAUAAAUUACUGACAUUCAGAGUUCUUGUUUUUUAAGAAUAUUAGGGGGAAAAUGAAAAUAGUAUAGUUUCAGCAAAGUUAUAUAGUUUUUGCAGUCAACAGAAUAAUGGGCCCCCUAAUGAUGUUCACGUCCUAACCCCUAGAAUCUAUGAAUAUGUUAGGUUACAGGGCAAAGGGGAAUUAAGACUGCAGGUGGAAUUAAGAUUAAUUAGCUGACCUUAAGAUAGGGAAUGUAGCAUAGUUUAUCCAGGUGAGCCCAAUAUAAUCACAGUGGAAGACAGAGACAGAAGAAUCAGUCAGAGAAGACGUGGCUACAGAGGAGAGAGUGAUGAGACGUGAGGACUCUGCCUGCCAUUGCUGGCUUUCAAGAUGAAGGAAGGGGGCCAUGAACCAAGGGAUGCCUCUAGAAGCUGGAAAAGGUAAGGAAACAGAUUCUCACCUAGACUUCCAGAAAGCUCUGCUGUUGCCUUGAUUUUAGCCUAGUGAGACCCAUUUCAGACUUCCGACCUCCAGUACGCGAAGAUAAUACAUUUGUGUUGUUUUAACCUAUUAAGUUCUAAAAUGGUGAACCCAAUUUCAUUUCUUCUCUCCCUUUACAAGGUAGGUGCUAUUAACAGUGAAAUGACAAUGCAAAAGCAAAGCAGAGGAAAGCACCAGCAAAGGACAUGCCUCGCUGACUGCAGAUUACAGUGUCCUCUACUCAAUUCCUAUCUUAAUAUGUAUCACAUGCCCUGCCUGAGAUAAUGAGGACUCUUUCUCCCAUUCCCUCAGUCUUCAGGUUGCCUCUACUUCUCUUCCAUUUUCUUUUUCCUUGGUAUGAUCCUCUUCUUUCUCAUUCUUCUCUUCUUUCAUUUCCUGAGUUGUUUUCUCUCCACUUCUUCCCCAUGUACUCUGAUAGGAAAUAUUAUAGCAGUAGCCCAAGCUAGAAGAAAAAGGAAACACCUACCAGCUCCCUCCCUUCCUCACAACACCUACACGGCUGCUGGGGAAGCCUUGAAUGAAAGCUAGAAAAGAACAAAUAGGAAAAGAGGCAUUUGAAAACAGAACAGAAAUAGUCACAGACGGGUGACAGGCAGGAGAUGCCACCUCAUUGACAGCUGCCACCAUUUUCCAUAGAGAAGUUAUUCCAUUGUAGUAUACACCAGGGCUGGGUUUAAAUAUUUUUCCUAUGUACUUGGUAGUAUAGUGGAAGCUCCUCCAUUUCUCUAAAUAGUUAACUGCAUACUUAGAGCUCUUGGUAGCGUUUAGAACACGGAGUUAAUUAUUCUGAGUGUACCUAGCCCCAUCACUGUCUGUAAUCUGUACAAAAUUUGAUAAGCCCUUUUAAGGUAGUUAGAUAUUUAUUGAGACUCUGCUGUAUAUUUGGCAGUGCCCCAGAUAUAGGUAGUGGUGGUGACAGCAAGCAAUAGGACCAGUGGAGCCUGCUUUUUAAUAGAGAGUGAUCUCUCUGGUAUUGUUGUAAGUACAGCAUAUAAGCAACUUGAGGUGUUGUCUUAAAGAUGUGAGCUCACCUAAUUUACACAGGAACAUCAAAGCCAGAAUUCCUCCCCUUGCUGAUGUUAGCCUGUAACUCUGUGCCUCUCAAGUGUAUAAUAACUUCUUCUGUGGGAAUCAUGCUUCUGAAGCAUGAAGAAAGAACACACCCGUGUUUCCACUUUCUCUGCUGCUUUGCAUGUGAUCCUUCCAGGUAUGCAAAAUAAUGCCUCAAUAUAAUUUUGAACUGUGUUGUCAUUUUACAUAUUUUAUCAGAAGACUUCAUAUCAGAUGGAAGCAAAUCUUUAGAAGGGUUGUUAUAACAACUUGAACAGCCCAUCAUGCUCUAGGCAUGCUCCCUGUCACGGCUAUGUUUUCAUUCAUUAGAGAUAGAGGAGGAGGCGGCUUAAAAUGUGUAAUUCUAAUCACCUAUUCCUACAGCUCUCUAACUGGUCUCCGUGGCUUCUCUUUCCUUCCUCCAGUCUUGCCCGUGAACCUUGAUUAGAGGACAACACAACACUAACAGCCACUCCUCCCUCUCCCUCCUGACUCCUUAUUUGAGUUAGAGGCUCUCAUAACACCUGCGUCUUCCCCUUUGUCAGCAGUCAUCACAACGAAUUGUGAUUGCCUAUUUACUCAUCUGCAUCUCCCACUGAAUUCUGAUCCAUGGUGGCUGGCCCAUGCCUGUCUUGUGUACAUUUGCAUGUAAACCACUUAACCCAAGUGCUAGGAAGCAAACAGUACACGCAGGUGUGUGGAGUGAUUGAAAGCUAAUUUGCUACAUAAGAAUGUACAGUGAUUCCUCAGUGUUUAUUAGAUCAGGCCCAAACUCUUCAUUUCAGUUUUCAACUCCUCUGAUUUUUCUUUUAUACAAGCUUUCAGAUCUCCUCUUGGUUCUCAUCUAGCUCUUGCAUCUUUAUGCCGUGGGUUGAUUCCUCUGCCUGCCUAUCUGUAGUAGCUUGUCUCCUAGGAUGGCUGCCAUCAAUUUCUUCUCUUCUGUAUACACAUGCCACUCCCGCAUUGAGAGAUGGAGUCUUCUUUCCCCCUGGAAUCUGGUCUGGCCUGUGACUAAUUUCAAUAAUAGAAUCUUGCAUUUCUAUUGAAACUACCAAAAAAAAAAUUGUGUCAGCUACUACAGCUACUAAGUUUUGGGAUGGUUUGUUAUAUGGCAGUAGAUAUCCUCAAUACCAUUCUUCAAAGUCCCAAACCUACAUUUUCUGUGAAGCCUUACCUUGCUAGUCUAGUUAACACUGAUCUCCUCCUUCUCUAAAGUUCUGUGGGAAUAGAACUUUGUUGAUGCCACACAUUUUGUUAUCCAACUGUAUGUAUCAUUACUUUUCCUUUCCUGAAUGCCAGUAUGAACUCCAUGACCAAAUUAUAUGGUCUUUGAAGAUACCAUAUAAUAGUGGAAAUAGUGGAAAUAGGUCUUUUGUAAUCACUUCAACAAGUCCUAGUACUGAAUAAAAAUGUAAUGGCUGUUGAACUGGAUUAAAAGUAAAAAUAUUCUUGGCC
rnacentral:lncRNA from 1 species